rnacentral:rRNA from 1 species
AGAACGAACGCUGGCGGCAUGCCUAAUACAUGCAAGUCGAACGAACACUUCGGUGUUAGUGGCGCACGGGUGCGUAACGCGUGGGAAUCUGCCCUUGGGUUCGGAAUAACAGUUGGAAACGACUGCUAAUACCGGAUGAUGACGAAAGUCCAAAGAUUUAUCGCCCAGGGAUGAGCCCGCGUAGGAUUAGCUAGUUGGUGAGGUAAAGGCUCACCAAGGCGACGAUCCUUAGCUGGUCUGAGAGGAUGAUCAGCCACACUGGGACUGAGACACGGCCCAGACUCCUACGGGAGGCAGCAGUAGGGAAUAUUGGACAAUGGGCGCAAGCCUGAUCCAGCAAUGCCGCGUGAGUGAUGAAGGCCUUAGGGUUGUAAAGCUCUUUUACCCGAGAUGAUAAUGACAGUAUCGGAGAAUAAGCCCCGGCUAACUCCGUGCCAGCAGCCGC